rnacentral:lncRNA from 1 species
AUGCCUGCUGGCACAUCUGAGGCAUUUUCCAAAUUUCUGGGGAGGGGAAAUUCUGGCCGUGUGCAUUGCCAUGAAGGCGAGGGAAGAGCCUGCUGUUCCCAGCCCUCUCGCACACACACCCCAAAUCCCCACCGCAAGCACCGGGGCAUUCCCACGCCGGCUUUAGGGUCGCGGCCGUGCCCUGCUGGGGGCUCCCACCCCCUGCGGAGCCCCCCAUCCCCGCGGGACCCCAGAUCAGCGGGCCGGGGGCCGCAGGGCUGUACCCGGGGGGGCUGCAGCUGCCCCCCGGUGCCUCCCCGGGCUGCGGGGCCAGGCGGUGCGGCUCACCUGGGCGCAGAGAGCGCUGCCGCUGCCCCUGCAGCCCGGCUGCCAUUUGUUGCUCGCGUUCAGAGGGAGCUGCCCUCUCCUCCCCAUCACCACCGCCACCCGGCAGCAACUGGUCCUGGGAGGUGUCAAAGUGGAAAAACCCCAGGGCAGAGCAAACGGCGCCCUCCCGGCAAGGCGGGCACGGAGAGGGGGGCGCUUUUUGCUCCGCUUUUUGGCAUCGGGGUCGCGAGGCUCAGCCCCUCGCUCGGUGCCGAGCAGGGGGUGGCAGCCCCCUCCCCGCAGCCUCCCCGCCCCUUCUCCCCUCCUUCCCCCGCCGCCUCGGCGCAGCCCCAGCCCCGGCUGUACCGGGAGCAUCUCCGGGGGCCCUGGCUGAUCCGUGUCCCGCUCGGCUCAGCACGGCACGGCUCGGCACGGCACGGCACGGCGCUGCUCGCCUCCCUCUCUCCCUCCCCGUCGAGUUUCCUCCCGGCUCCGCCGCCUCCCCCCCCACGUCGCACGACCCCGCAACUUACAUCGCGGAGCGGCGCCUCCCCGCAAAACUUCGCGGUGUGCCGCCCCCGGCGGCUCGGCACGGCUCGGCACGGCUCGGCACGGCUCGGCACGGCUCGGCACGGCUUAGCACGGCUCGGCACGGCCCGGCGCAACAGGCAGCGCAGCCUCACCUGGCGCGGAGCCGCCGCGCCAUGGGAGCGACGGGCGGAGCCUGCCGGCGGCACGGCCAGGACCGGGGGCGGUGGGGCCGGGGCCGGGGCCGGGGCCGGGGGGGGCCGGGGCGCAGCCACCGCCCGGCCGCCCUCCUGCCUCCGCCGGGCGGCUCUGCCUGCGCCGCCGCCGCUCCCUCCUGCCCCUGCGCUGCGGCUGCAGGCAGGCGGGGAGGGAGGAGAGAGCAGAGGGUGGGAGGGAGGAAGGAGGAGACUCCCCUCCCGCUGCCACAGGCACGGCGGGGGGAUGCUCCCCCGAGGGGAGAUGCUCCCCCGGAGCGGGGGUGCCGGCGGGGAGCGUCCCCUCCCCUCCCGGUGCUGGCUCCCCCCGGCGGCAGGGGUGCGGGGGGCAGAGCGCGGCCCCGAGGGGCGCAGCCGUGCCCCUGCUGCGCGCCCCGCCACCUCAUCGCAGCUGUAG